ensembl:lncRNA
CCGACAUCUGACACACUGCCCUGGGUUAUUGAGCCAGACGUGGAAAUCCAAAGCGGAGAUGCUCUCCUUAAUGCCUGACACCUGGUGCAGAUUUGGAAGGGAUUGCACUACAGGGUGUGCUUUACAAGUGGACGCUACUCAGGAGUGUUGCAGCUCACCUUACCGCUUGCAGUCACAUCUGCAGACUGUGCUGGAGCAGAAUGGCUAGCGAACAUAAACACAGCAAGGACAUCAAAGGCCGGCAGGCUGUGUCCAGUUCUGUCACUGGUCCUUAGUGCUCCAGCAGCCUGGUCAAAAAGACAUCCUGGCAGGGUCCCAGGGUGGAUGCAUCGCCCACGCACGCUGCUCUUGCCAGAUCCCAGAAGUCUUUGUGGUGAACCACUGACCGUGCUGCUCCCUAUUUUCUUCCAGCCCAGCAAAUAAUGUGUCAGAAAAAGAUUAUUGAUAGCCCAUAAAAGAAGAGGCAGAAUGUUG